UCCAAUUACAUGGAUAAAGACCUGCAUGGGUAAAACCAAUAUAAAAUAAUUCUUACUGAAGUAAAAAAAGAAUGAGAUGAUAUUGACAUGCAAGCUACUUCUAAAAUGAAAACAAAGCAUUGUUGAAAAAUAGUUAAUAAAUCAGGAAAUAUAUUUGCUUGAAAUAUACAAGAAUUACAUACCAGAAGCAAAUGCAUACCACAAAAAUGAAAAAUCAUGCAGGUCAGCAAAGCACAUGAUGCAAUAUUAAAUGGGACACGCACACGAUAUAAAGGAUAAAGAGAACUAG
rnacentral:misc_RNA from 1 species